rnacentral:rRNA from 1 species
UACGGGGGGGAGCAAGCGUUGUUCGGAUUUACUGGGCGUAAAGGGCGCGUAGGCGGCCACCGCAAGUCGACUGUGAAAUCUCCGGGCUUAACCCGGAAAGGUCAGCCGAUACUGCGGGGCUAGAGUGCAGAAGGGGCAACUGGAAUUCUCGGUGUAGCGGUGAAAUGCGUAGAUAUCAGGAGGAACACCCGUGGCGAAAGCGGCUCUCUGGGACGGUACUGACGCUGAGACGCGAAAGCGUGGGGAGCAAACAGG